rnacentral:tRNA from 1 species
UGCCCGAUAGUAUAAGGGUAGUACAACGGUUUUUGGUACCGUGCGUCUUGGUUCGAAUCCAGGUCGGGCAACAA